AUGCGCGGGGGGAGUGGGGGAGACGCGGCCCCCGCCGAGGCUUGCGGCAGCGAGUGGCGGUGGCGGGAUGUGCGGCGAGAGGUUGCGGGGAGCAGAGGGCAGAGCACACUAUCCAGGAACAUGGAUCGAUGUGUCUGUACAUUGGUAGAUGUAGUAAAUCGUGUUUCCCUGAAGGUGAUGAAGAAAGAGGGGGCGAGAUCUACAUCAAUGGUUGCUGGCAGGCCGGGGCCCACCGCCGCCGCACGUCAGGCAAACUCUUUGCCGCCGUCUGGUGGUGCCACACCAUCACGAACUCCCGCCGGCGCUGAAUGGCACAGCAGCAGGACAUGGACCUCGACGGUGCCGAGCGCUUCGUUGGAGGAUCCGUGGAGGUCGGCUUAUUCUUUCUAG
rnacentral:rRNA from 1 species